UCAAGAAUAUUCCUCAAUGGCCGAAAGGCUGAAGGAGCGACGCCGCGUGUAUGAAGAAGCCCUUCGGGGUGUAAAGUACUUUUAACUGUGAAGAAACAAUGACAGUAGCAGUUGAAUAAGGGGCUGCUAACCUCGUGCCAGCAGCAGCGGUAAUACGAGGGCCCCAAGCAUUAUCCGGAUUUAUUGGGCGUAAAGCGUCCGUAGACGGUUGGUUGCAUCUCCUGUUAAAUCACAAGGCUCAACCUUGUGGCCGCGGGAGAGAUGAGCAAACUAGAGACUGGAAGAGGCAAGCGGAAUUACUGGUGUAGGGGUUAAAUCCGUUAAUAUCAGUAAGAACACUUAAUGCGAAGGCAGCUUGCUAGGACAGUUCUGACGUUAAAGGACGAAAGCGUGGGGAGCGAAUGGG
rnacentral:rRNA from 1 species